rnacentral:rRNA from 1 species
GUCUACAGGCAUGCCACCUUGAGCACACCCGAUCUCAUCUGAUCUCGGAAGCUAAGCAGGGUUGGGCCUGGUUAAUACUUGGAUGGAAGACCAGCUAGGAAUACCAGGCAAUAAAAAAA